rnacentral:rRNA from 1 species
UAACAUACAGUGGAGGCCCGAACCGAUAUACGUUGAAAAGUGUUCGGAUGACCUGUGGGUAGGGGUGAAAGGCCAAUCAAACUUGGAGAUAGCUCGUACUCCCCGAAAUAUAUUUAGGUAUAGCGUUUGAUUUUGUCUGCCUGGAGGUAGAGCACUGAUUAGGCUAGGGCCCUUCACCGGGUACCAACCCUAGACAAACUCCGAAUACCAGCG